GACGAACGCUGGCGGCGUGCCUAAUACAUGCAAGUCGAACGAAAGCACCCGGUGCUUGCACUUGUCACUCUAGUGGCGGACGGGUGAGUAACACGUGGGUAACCUACCCAUCAGAGGGGGAUAACAUCCGGAAACGGGAGCUAAAACCGCAUAAGACUUCGAACCGCAUGGUUUGAAGAGGAAAAGCGGCGCAAGCGUCUGCUAAUGGAUGAACCCGCGCUGCAUUAGCUAGUUGGUGAGGUAACGGCUCACCAAGGCCAUGAUGCGUAGCCGACCUGAGAGGGUGAUCGGCCACACUGGAACUGAGACACGGCCCAGACUCCUACGGGAGGCAGCAGUAGGGAAUCUUCCGCAAUGGACGCAAGCCUGACGGAGCAACGCCGCGUGAGUGAUGAAGGUCUUCGGAUCGUAAAACUCUGUUAUUAGAGAAGAACAAGUGUGAAAGUAACUAUGCACGUCUUGACGGUACCUAAUCAGAAAGCCACGGCUAACUACGUG
rnacentral:rRNA from 1 species